rnacentral:rRNA from 1 species
GAUGAACGCUGGCGGCGUGCCUAAUACAUGCAAGUCGAGCGAACGGACGAGAAGCUUGCUUCUCUGAUGUUAGCGGCGGACGGGUGAGUAACACGUGGAUAACCUACCUAUAAGACUGGGAUAACUUCGGGAAACCGGAGCUAAUACCGGAUAAUAUUUUGAACCGCAUGGUUCAAAAGUGAAAGACGGUCUUGCUGUCACUUAUAGAUGGAUCCGCGCUGCAUUAGCUAGUUGGUAAGGUAACGGCUUACCAAGGCAACGAUGCAUAGCCGACCUGAGAGGGUGAUCGGCCACACUGGAACUGAGACACGGUCCAGACUCCUACGGGAGGCAGCAGUAGGGAAUCUUCCGCAAUGGGCGAAAGCCUGACGGAGCAACGCCGCGUGUGUGAUGAAGGUCUUCGGAUCGUAAAGCUCUGUUAUUAGGGAGGAACAUAUGUGUAAGUAACUGUGCACAUCUUGACGUUACCUGAUCAGAAAGCCACGGCUAACUACGUG